rnacentral:rRNA from 1 species
UACGGGGGGAGCAAGCGUUGUUCGGAUUUACUGGGCGUAAAGGGCGCGUAGGCGGCCACCGCAAGUCGACUGUGAAAUCUCCGGGCUUAACCCGGAAAGGUCAGCCGAUACUGCGGGGCUAGAGUGCAGAAGGGGCAACUGGAAUUCUCGGUGUAGCGGUGAAAUGCGUAGAUAUCGAGAGGAACACCUGAGGUGAAGACGGGUUGCUAGGCUGACACUGACGCUGAGGCGCGAAAGCCAGGGGAGCAAACGGG